AACGUAGGAGACAAACGUUAUCCGGAGUUACUGGGCGUAAAGGGCGUGUAGGUGGUUUCGUAAGUCUGGCGUGAAAUUUCUCGGCUUAACCGAGGCAGGUCGUCGGAUACUGCGGUACUUGAGGACGGUAGAGGCGUGUGGAAUUCCGGGUGUAGUGGUGAAAUGCGUAGAGAUCCGGAGGAACACCAGUGGCGAAGGCGACACGCUGGGCCGUACCUGACACUGAUGCGCGACAGCAUGGGGAGCAAACAGG
rnacentral:rRNA from 1 species